CCUACGGGAGGCAGCAGUGGGGGAUAUUGCACAAUGGGGGAAACCCUGAUGGUGCGACGCCGCGUGGGGGAAUGAAGGUCUUCGGAUUGUAAACCCCUGUCAUGUGGGAGCAAAUUAAAAAGAUAGUACCACAAGAGGAAGAGACGGCUAACUCUGUGCCAGCAGCCGCGGUAAUACAGAGGUCUCAAGCGUUGUUCGGAAUCACUGGGCGUAAAGCGUGCGUAGGCUGUUUCGUAAGUCGUGUGUGAAAGGCGCGGGCUCAACCCGCGGACGGCACAUGAUACUGCGAGACUAGAGUAAGGGAGAGGGAAGCGGAAUUCUCGGUGUAGCAGUGAAAUGCGUAGAUAUCGAGAGGAACACUCGUGGCGAAGGCGGGUUCCUGGACAUUAACUGACGCUGAGGCACGAAGGCCAGGGGAGCGAAAGGGAUUAGAUACCCUUGUAGUC
rnacentral:rRNA from 1 species